rnacentral:rRNA from 1 species
ACAUGCAGUCGAACGGCAGCACGGGAGCAAUCCUGGUGGCGAGUGGCGAACGGGUGAGUAAUACAUCGGAACGUGCCCAAUCGUGGGGGAUAACGCAGCGAAAGCUGUGCUAAUACCGCAUACGAUCUACGGAUGAAAGCAGGGGACCGCAAGGCCUUGCGCGAAUGGAGCGGCCGAUGGCAGAUUAGGUAGUUGGUGAGGUAAAGGCUCACCAAGCCUUCGAUCUGUAGCUGGUCUGAGAGGACGACCAGCCACACUGGGACUGAGACACGGCCCAGACUCCUACGGGAGGCAGCAGUGGGGAAUUUUGGACAAUGGGCGAAAGCCUGAUCCAGCAAUGCCGCGUGCAGGAUGAAGGCCUUCGGGUUGUAAACUGCUUUUGUACGGAACGAAACGGUUCUUUCUAAUAAAGAGAGCUAAUGACGGUACCGUAAGAAUAAGCACCGGCUAACUACGUGCCAGCAGCCGCGGUAAUACGUAGGGUGCAAGCGUUAAUCGGAAUUACUGGGCGUAAAGCGUGCGCAGGCGGUUAUGUAAGACAGUUGUGAAAUCCCCGGGCUCAACCUGGGAAUUGCAUCUGUGACUGCAUAGCUAGAGUACGGUAGAGGGGGAUGGAAUUCCGCGUGUAGCAGUGAAAUGCGUA